rnacentral:rRNA from 1 species
GAUGAACGCUGGCGGCGUGCCUAACACAUGCAAGUCGAACGAAAAGAUAAGGAGCUUUCUCCCUUGCGGUUAGCGGCUGACGGGUGAGUAACACGUGGAUCAUCUUCCUCUAAUUCUGGGAUAAUAUCGUGAAACAACUUCUAAUACCGGAUAAUACGUCGUACGGCAUGAUUCAAUCGUGAAACGCGCUUUGGCUGUCUCUUAUAGCUGGAUCCGCGUCGUAUUAGCUAGUUGGUAAGGUAACGGCUUACCAAGGCAACGAUGCGUAGCCGAGCUGAGAGGAUGAUCGGCCACACUGGAACUGAGACACGGUCCAGACUCCUACGGGAGGCAGCAGUAGGGAAUCUUCGGCAAUGGGCGAGAGCCUGACGCAGCAAGACCGCGUGAGUGAUGAAGGCCUUCGGUUCGUAAAGCCCUGUUGUUGGGAAAGAACAACUGUGUGUGUAAAAGUAGACGUCGUGACGGUACCUAAAGAAAAAGCACCGGCUAACUACGUG